rnacentral:rRNA from 1 species
GGCAUGCCUUACACAUGCAAGUCGAACGGUAACAGGUCUUCGGAUGCUGACGAGUGGCGAACGGGUGAGUAAUACAUCGGAACGUGCCCGAUCGUGGGGGAUAACGAGGCGAAAGCUUUGCUAAUACCGCAUACGAUCUACGGAUGAAAGCGGGGGAUCUUCGGACCUCGCGCGGACGGAGCGGCCGAUGGCAGAUUAGGUAGUUGGUGGGAUAAAAGCUUACCAAGCCGACGAUCUGUAGCUGGUCUGAGAGGAUGAUCAGCCACACUGGGACUGANACACGGCCCAGACUCCUACGGGAGGCAGCAGUGGGGAAUUUUGGACAAUGGGCGAAAGCCUGAUCCAGCCAUGCCGCGUGCAGGAUGAAGGCCUUCGGGUUGUAAACUGCUUUUGUACGGAACGAAAAGCCUCUUUCUAAUAAAGAGGGGUCAUGACGGUACCGUAAGAAUAAGCACCGGCUAACUACGUGCCAGCAGCCGCGGUAAUACGUAGGGNGCAAGCGUUAA